GCAGGCUCGUAGUGCAGGACCUUUUUAAAUCUUGAAACGGGUAGGCCCAAAUGCAUAUGUCAUUGAUCUUCCUUUUGAUUACGACAUUAGUUCCACUUUUAAUAUUAAGGACUUAGUUGCUUAUAUACCUCCUUUGCCUGUCCCGAUGCCCCAUUUGACACACCAACUCUGCCCCCACCAGAUAUGCCUGCCUUUGACCCUCACACUUCUCCUUUUCAACCCACACGGAAGGAGAAGAUAAAUACUAUUUUAGAUGAACAGAUAAUAUCUACUACUGACGGAGGUAUUCAGCAUUUACUAGUCCGAUGGAGGGACCGUCCAGAGUCUGAUAGCACGUGAAUUACUUGUGAGGAGCCAGCAGAUCGAUCCAGAUCUUUUGGAGCACUAUCAGAUCGCUCGCUGUCCCACUCGAUGGAGUCGAGUUUCUCCCACCUCAGGAGAGUUGGUGCGAACACUGUCCUAGACCUUUGAUCAAGCACGUGUAUAGUCGCAGACGCAGGAGGGCAGCCCACCCGGUGACACUUUGGCUGGGUGAUAGCUUAUGAGAAAGAGAGUUUAUUUGUUGGGUAUUUGGGUCUUUUCUUCUGUAGGGGUAUUUUGGGAAUUUGCUCUUAUCAUGUUGCCUAUAUAAAGGCUGUUAGGGCUUGUUAACAAUUGGUUGAAUGAAUAGAAUUUUCCUUCCAUAUUGUUUUUGUUGGUGGAUUCCAACACCUCGCUGGUGGAUUCCGCGGGUUGAGUUCCUAUUUGAAUAUUGUUCUGCAUCACAUCACUUCUAAUUUGCUUUGAUUGCAAUUUAAAUAUGUAGCAGGAUCCAAAUUACGGAUAGUGGCCUUUCGAGCUCUUCUUGGAUUUCUUUCCAAAUGCAUUAAAAAAAGACUUGGUAGAGGAUGUCCCCCUCCUUAUGGACCAGCUACUCUCUAACCUGACAGGCUAUCCAUAUGAAUGUGAUCUCCCUAUUGCACUAGAGAGUUUUUAUUGAAUUGAGAGUGCUCAAACUCUGCCUAUGCCUCAUAUCUCAUCAUGAUACCAUUGAUCAUAAGGAUAACCUCUCGUAGAUAAGCUGCCACCAUGUCAUCUGGAUCAGAAUCAUGAUAAUUGUCAUCCGAGUAUAUAUGAACAUAUGACUGAGAUACUUGAUGAUUUAUCUUCCCUUCGAGCUUUGAAAUUUAUCUUUGCCCCUCUUUUUACAAGUGCUCCCUCGUCAUCUUUUGAAUAUCUACAGGUACCUUGGAACAUUUUUAACAUCACUGAAGCCACCUGCUAGGUGCUACUUAAGUCGGGUGACACCACCUCCUUUAUUAUACUGCCAACAAUAAUUGCAUUUCCACUGGUGCUAGAGGACUUCCCCAUUUUUCCAACAUGUCUCAAAAUAUUUUGGUUCUUCUAUUUCUUACUAUUAGGAUCUAUGUGGUCAGAAAGAUUUAUGCAUUCCUAUCCAAUAACAUAUUUUAAUCCUUUUCUAAUUUUUUAAAUAUUUUCAUUAAAAGUUAUUUUUUAAAUCAUUGAAAUUUUGAAAAUAAUCAUUCAUACAUCUAAAUUACCUGAGAUGUAUCUUAGUUUUCCUCAACUUUAUGUUCAUUAAUAUCCAAACUUUAUCCAAUUAUCUAAUAAAUAAUCAUAAUUUUAUUUUAUUAUUUUAGAUAAUUAUCAGAAUUCAUGAUAUGUACCUAGAAGUUGGCUUUAAGUUCCCUAUACUUCCUCCACCAUUUCCAACAUUUAAUAUAAAUUUUCUAAUUUUAAAACUUUUAAUUUAAAUCAUUGAAAUUUUGAAAAUAAUCAUUCGUGUAUCUGAAUUACUUGAGGAUGCACCUUAACUCUUCUCAACAUUCUAGAUAAUUAACAAAAUUCACGAUAAGUAUUACUUGUUCCAUCCUUUUCGACAUUUAAUAUAUUUUUUAAAUACUUACUAUAAAAUUAAUUCAAAGAUCAUCAAAUUCUAAAAAUUAAAUUUGCAGAAGGUUCUUUGUUUGAAAUUUAUCCAAUAUAUACAAUAAUUAAGUAGCAUGUGUGACAAAAUAAUCUAAACAUGCUAUAUAUUUUCUUGCAUAAUAUUUCUUCUAUUAUUUGAUAAUUAUUUUUUUAAAAAAUUGAUCUCAUAAAUAAUAAAAUAUUUAUUGAGAAAAUAAAAAAUUACAAUCUUGCAGCUUGAUUCUUACCCUAUAUCAUAUUACAAUUUCAUGCCAAACAAAAGAAAAAUUAUCAUGAUUGCUUCUAAUUUAUCAUGACUAGAUUCUAGAUUAGAGAUGACUAAGAGCUUGCUGGUAUGCAAGAUAGUGGCGACUAGUAUCCCUGAAUUUCCAACAUAGCACUUCUUCCCUUCCUCUCCCUUUGUUUCCCUCAUUCUCUUUUUCUUUCUCUAGGUUUCCGAGCAUGGCGAUGAUGGGCAUUAAUGCUCUUGAUGCCUAAAUAGAGGCAGAGGCAUGUGGGAUCUAGUUCCAAUUUUAUUUGGAAAAAAUAAACUCCAUCAUGUGCAGCAUUCCUAACCUCAUUAUUUCUUUUUUUAGCACCAAGGAAUCCAGUACUUUGGAUUGGACCCACAUUAAUUAAAAUAAAAAAGGAAAAACUAAUAGAGCGUGCCUCUCGGCCUUUUUGCUUGCGACUUGAGCUAGAGGGCAGAGAUCACUUUUCACCUCCCAAAAUCUCCUCAUUC